AAAGAUGUUGCGAGCAGGGCCGGUAUAACGUUAGAAAUGCUCUAUGUAGGGAAGAGCAACCCCAGGGAGAAAGUUAGGAAAAAUAACUCUAUUAUUACGACCGAGAAACUUAGCCAUGUAUUGCCAGACCUCACUUUGAUCUGGUUCUUUUGGGUGAGGCUGGAGAGCAUGUGGCAUUCCAAGGUGCAACACAAGAGGACUGUAGAGAAUGAUGCCAUCAUGCAGGAGAUAAUGACAAUGCUCAGCUUCGAUGGAAGUGAUCAAGGAUGGGCUGUGAUCAGCAGGGGACCUGCUGAUAUGGCCAAGGCAAAGGGAGAAACCAUAUUGAAAUCUUUUGUUGACUUUGAGAUAUGGAGGGACGGUGCACAGGAAAAGGGUUUUUUGCCUGCACUGAUUGAUAACCUCCUUGCACUCCAUAGCCCGUUACACUGCAACCGUCUGAUACUUCCAGGGGCUACAGGGAGCAUCCCAGAGAAGGUUGUUUGUGCUGAAUGCGGCCGUCCCAUGGAGAAGUUCAUCAUGUAUCGUUGCUGUACCGAUUGAGCUUUAUUACCAGUAAUACGGUAUGCUAUUUACGUUUUCGAUCACUAUCUAUUUCAAUAAAAACCAAGGCUUUUCUACUACUACAUGCUAUUUGUAUUGUAAUAUGAUGAUUAUAAUUAAUGAAAGGUGUUGUUUGCAGUACCAUUUCUAGUUUCUACAUUUCCAUUUGCUUAGCAAUGUCCUUACCACUCAUCGGAAAAUCUCCUAGAAAUCAGAGCAUAUCUUAGGCCUCGAUGACAAGGAUUUGAGUUAGAACAUAACGCCUUAAACUUUGGGGAUUAGAAUCAAUACUCAAAAGUGAAACCCUUAAUAACAUCCAGUAACUGAUUCAGAGUUCUUGUUGCGUGGGGCAUUUUUAAUCUCGUAUUCCCCAUGAAUAACAGCCAGUAACUGAUUCAGAUUUCUUAUUGCGUGGGGCGUUUUUAAUCUCGUUUCCCCCCUGGAAGUUCAUGAAGACUUGAAAUUAACCUUUCGAUCUUUGAACACUCUUUGUCUCUGCUCCUUAUUCGAAUACAUUGUUUAUUUCGCAAAAGGAAGAUUUGUUUACAGGCGGGCAUCGAUUAAUUUCAUCACCAUAAAAUUGAAAAAAAAAACAGUGAUCGAGAAAGAAAGGCAGGGAUGUACCAGGAGACAGGUAACACGGUGCUGGAAACAAAGCACCGUGCUGUUUAAUACUGGUAAUAACAUAAAUUAAUUUAUGCUUCGGAAACAUGAAUUUCUCCCACUAAUUACAAGGGAGAGUUCACCAGUAGGAAGCAACAGCAAGAUAAACACCAAAUUAUCAUUAAAGAUGGCAAUUAAUUAAAAAUGUUGCAAACCCAGCCAUGAAACCAAACCACGCAUUUCCAAAGAAACGUAGCAUGUAUUAUAUACAUACAUACAUACAUAUAUAUUUGAAAGGGUUUGGGAUUGCAAUAAAUAUACGCUUCCGUUGACACGUCCUUACGGAACUGUAAAAGCCAUUGAAGAACGCAACGCCUAUCGAAAGCGAUGAACAGCAAAAUCAAAAACAAGAAACACAACCAAAUUGAGACUUAAAACAAGUUGAUCUACACGGAGAAGAGAGGAGGGAAGAGUAGAGGAGGGAAGAGGAGAGCGGCGUUAGGGAUUCUUAUGCUUCUUCUAGUGCUCGUGCUAGGGGUUUUAUUUAUAUAGCGUGGAUGUGAUUUCCUUUUCGUGACAUGACAAGAAUGCCCCUCGAGCCAAGGCCCAGAAUGAUAAUUAAUGGAAGCCAACACGGAUUAUAGUCAUAUACUCUAACCGGUACUCCCGAGGCACGUGGGUUCGAGUUGGGUUGGGUUGUGUAGGUUAAGACCUUCCUGUAUUUUGAAUUCACAAAAAAAAACUAAGAGAUAGAGGGAUUUUAUUUUAGUCACUUGAAUAGUGGUUUUUUUCUUUCUUUGGAUUUUAUUUUUGUUUUUACAAUUUUUAUUUUUUUAAAAAAAUCAAUUUUAUUUUUCAAUAUUAAAUUUAUUUGGAAUUGAACUUUAUAAUUUUUUUAAUUUAUUUUUUAUGAGGUUGUCUCAGUCUCAUGACUUAAAUUGCAAGUUUGACGGGUUGACUCAAGGCUUUUUUUUUAAUUAAUAUUUUUUUUAAUUUCACAAAUAAAAAAACAACAAGAGAAUGAGGUUUUACUGUAUGUCUCUUGCAAAUAUUAUUCACUAUAAUAAUGUUUUUUUUCUUCCUUUGGAUUUCAAAAAAAAACCUAUGAUUUUCGUGCUAUCCACAACAUUGCAUCUGAUACAAUUUUCUUUGAGUUCAUUUACAGCUAGGUGUAUCUGAAAUGAAGGGCAAGGUAGUUUUACUUUUGGUAUCUAAGGCAGAGCUCCUUCCACAAGAGGGAUUGCUUCUACUGCUUGAUAGAACAUAUGAUCAUCCUUACCACAAGAAGUUAGAGGGAAGUUAUGAAAUUGUUUGGAUCUCAAUUUCUGAUACAUGGACUGAUGCUGAAAGGGACAUAUUCGAUUUUUUAUCAAACUCUUUGCCAUGAUACUUAGUUCGGCGACCGUGGGUGCUCUUCUCAGUUGUUGUGAACUACAUAAGACAAGAAUGGGACUAAAAAAAUGUCCCUCUUAUUGUAGUGUUUGAUUCAUAAGGUAUGGUCAGAAAAUCAAAUGCAAUGGAUAUGGUGUUCAUCUGGGAUGCCAGAGCAUACCCCUUCUCAACUUCGAAAGAAAAGGAACUCUGGGACGAAGAGAAUUGGACCCGUGAAACUUUUGCUUGAUGAAAUUGACCCUCUAUUAACCACCUGGGUAUGAUACUAGCAUCCUCAAUAUGGUUGCAUACUUAAGGAAUUACUUUCAUCGCUUUUGCACUCAUUACAUUACAUUGAUCUCAGGUAGAAGAAGGCUGAAAUAUUUGCAUUUAUGGAAGUGACAACCUAGAUUGGAUUAGGGAAUUCAAUGCCACAUGUAAGGUGAUCAGAAAUGCUGGUGUGCAGCUUGAAAUGGUGUAUGUUGGCUGCAAAGACCUUGGCGAACAAGUAAGACGCCUGUUAGCUAUUAUCGAUGAAGAACUGCACAGAAGUUCAUUCUCUUUCACAAAACUUCAUUUCUUUUGACUUCGGUUGGAGAGUAUCAGAAGAUCAAAACUCCAACUGGGACAAUCAAUCCAUUCUGAUGAUCAUAUAUAUCUUGAAAGAGGUGUCACCAUUACUAGAUACGGCCAACGAAGGGUGGGCUAUAAUCGGAAGAGGGAAUACGGCAGACAUUGUAAAACUUUCAGCUAGUGAAGCAAUAAAAUGGUUGGAUAGGUUUCCAGAAUGGGAAGAAAAUGUGGCAAAGUUAGGAUUCGUGUCAGCACUUAGAGCUGCCAUCGAUCCACCUCCUCCUCCUCUAGGGCCUUGAAAUCAUUCGAAAGUUGUUCCUUAUGCAGAAGGGCUAACAGAAGAAACUGUACUGUGUGAGAAGUGUAAACAUCCCAUGAAGAAGAACGUUGUUUAUGAGUGAAAUAUCGAUAUGUACUGAGCAAACGAACAUCAAGCUAUUUAUUUGAUUAUCGCUGUUAAACAGAAUGUCUGACAAUUUAUUAUGAUCAUCUAAUUACAGAUUGAUGCAACUUAAUUUUACAGUACACUUGAUCGUGUUCUUAGUAAACAAUACAGUAACUAUAUCCUUGCUAUCAUGUUCUGUUAAUUCUCGGCGAUCUGUAUAAAGAUAAAGAGCAGAAAAAUAAGGUAGAAAAGGCGGCCUUCUACAAGGUGCAGCUUUUGAUCCUCUGGAUAUAGGCCCAUUGAUAAAAAUGAGUAGAAAGACGACAGCAAAGAAAAAAACUAGAAUCUCCCAUCACAAAUAAAAUAUAACCAAACUUGCUAGAAGCAAAUAGCAGUUAAUCUGUGGUUUCUUAUUAGUUUUCCUGUACUAGCAUAGUUAAUUAUUUCAUAGAUGUUAAACCCGGCCAGUCUCUCUAGUUGAUCCUAGAAAACCAGACCCAAAGUUCUAUCAGGUUGAGUUUUAAACUUGUUUGUUUUUACAUUUUAAAAAUGUUUUUGAAAAAAAAUUAAAAUUUUUUUAUUUUUUUCUGUACUUUAAAUUAAUAUUUUUUGGUGUUGUUAGAUCAUUUUGAUACGCUAAUGUCAAAAAUAAUUUUUAAAAAAUAAAAAAAUAUUAUUUUGAUACAUUUCCGAGUGAAAAGUACUUUGAAAAUCAACCAUAAUCAUACUUCCAAACAUACUCUAAUUAAAUAAAAAAAAUCAUUAACUAAAUCAAAUCUAAUUAACUCAUCCAUCAUAGUUUUAAAACUCGACUUAAAGCAACAAGAGCAAGUCUCUAGUUACAAGCCAAAAUGAUUAAUCUAGGUUGAUGUAAUUAUUUUUAAAGAAUCAAAAUAAUAUCAUUUUGAUAAAAAAAAAAUAGAUUAAAAACAAAUCAACGAAUUAAUAAUCAUAUUGUAAACGGGUCAGACCCCGGUCAAAUCAAUCAUUGAGUCAAUCAAUUUUUGUUCUUCAAUCCAGAUUAGUCUGAUCUCAAAUUAGACGGGUUUUGGAUAACCUGACGGGCAGAUCCAAUUUUAAAACUUAGUUAUCCACCACUUUUCCCCCCUCCUAGGUAUAGGUGCUGAACGCCUGUCUUAUUCCCACAUUCCUUGGCCUUCAAGUCUAGAGAAUAUAAGGUUCUUCCUUAUCCUUUAAUUUCCUUUUCCACCAUGUCAUUCUUUGGAAUUUCAUAAAGUUUGGGCUAUUAUUUCAAGUUCGAUAGGAUCAAAAAUCAUUUGGAGUGAUUUGAUGUGAUGUUCUUUCAAAAUCUAAGUGCAAAUCGAUUGAAUGUGGAUUGAAUGUGGGUGCAGCACAGAUAAUUGCUAGUGGAUUGAAUGUUGCCUUUCAUCAUAAUAAUAUGAUCAGAGUACUGCUGCCUUUCUCUUUGUUUGAGAACGUAAUUUCAUUCUAUGACGUUGAAAUUUGAAUUCCAGAUCUCUUGAAAAGAGUAGAUUACAUUGAGUCAGAUGAGUUACAACUCGUUAAUGAUUUCUAUAAGAAAAAGAAAGGAUUUCAGCUUCUGAGUCUCAACAAGCAUAGCAAGGGCGUUGCCGCUGAAACAACAUUCCGAUCAUGGGCUGACCGGAAAGUAUGGACCUGUGACAUGCUCGGCAUCAACGUGUUCCACAAAAUAUAUAGAAGUAAAAUCAGCAAUCAUAGUAUUCGAAUCUUCCACAACAUUGUUAAAAUCAAAGCCAAAAGAGAGAGUAAAAUCAGUUACAUUAAUUAUAGACAGCACCUUAACCAAAAUUAUAUCCCUGGGACACUUUAGUCCUUAAACCCCGUCUGAAGCAAGGUAUUAAUUCUAGCUUUGACCUAUAAAUACAAGUCUCGGAUCAGCUAACCAAAUCCAUACCAACACAAGCUGUUCACUCCUCUCUCUUUCCCUCUUAGAAUUUGAAUCUAUAUAGUUUUCUUUGACCUCGAUGGCCACUCAUGCUCCUGAUGGUCGUGAACGCAGUAUGUUUUCAUCAUCUGAUGACACUGCAAUGAUGAAGCAAAUUCAGGCCACUCAUGCUCCUGAUGGCCGUGAAUUUUCAGUGAAGCCUCUUCUUCAUAUUGUUGAGGACAUUUUCCUCCGUGCCGCUCCUGCCCUAGGCAUGACCAACAUUGUUCAGCAGCAGGUAGAUACAUAACCAGUAAUACUGCCUCUUGCAUGCUAUAUUUUUAUGUGCUUAUUAUACUGGUAUGAUAAUUUAUUCAGCAUUAUUAUUAUGUUUCUAAUCAUCACUGGUGAGUACUUCUAUAUUUUAGGGAGCUCAUCAAGCACAACUUGAUGAAUUGGAAGAGAAGGCUCUUCAAAAUGGCUUUCAUGAAACGAUCGAGAUGCUGUCUUACACUAUCAACAAGAUUUCCUGCGAGGUAAGUUUGGACAGAAAAGAUUUGUGGGUUUAUAAGUUCAUGAUGUUUGAAGACACUUUGAAUACGCUGCUUUUUUCCAACAGAUGUCCUGCAAGUGUUCUGGAGGUGGAGAUGCACAUGCAACAACUUUGGCAAUAUUCAACUUGGUAUCAAACUACACGUGGGACGAAAAGUUGGUGCUAGCGUUAGCUGGAUUUGCCGUGAACUAUGGGGAGUUUUGGCUUGUCGCCCAGCUUUACCUUACAAACCCACUAGCUAAAGCGGUUGCACUUCUGAAGCAAUUGCCGGAUAUAAUUGAACGAGCUGACAAUAUGAAGCCCAAGUUUGAGGAACUUACAAGCCUUAUCAAGGUCAUGAUGGAUGUGGCCCAAUGCAUAUUUGAGUUCAAGGAGCUUCCGUCUCAAUACAUCACCCCUGACACUCCAGAAAUGUUAACUGCCACUGCGCAUAUCCCCACUGCUGUUUACUGGACCAUCAGGAGCAUUGUGGCUUGCGCAUCACAAAUUAUGGGCCUUAGUGGCAAGGGUCAUGAGUAUGUGUUUCCUUCUCCAUUAUAAAUUUGCUCCAUUCCCAGCCAAUAUACAUGUUGCUACUCAAUGACUUGCUUAUAUCAAUCAGAAAUAUUUUUGCACCAAAAUAACAUAUAGACAAGCUCAGUCUACUCUGGCCCUGGCUAUAAAAGUACUAGAACGGUUUGCACAUGCAUGCAAAGCAGCCAAGUGGAGUGAAAAGGGUGCUAAAUUUUUCUUUUGCAUCUCACUAUCUGCUCCACAGGUACAUAGCAUCCACAACAGAGGCUUCGGAGCUAUCAAGCGUGGCCCAAGAGGUUAAUAACAUUCACAGCCAUCUCAUGAAGCAGCUCACUCUUUGUUUUCAGCACAUAGGUGAGUCCGAGCCCACUCAAACAAGUGCAAUUCAUAUCACGUAGUAUAUUAUAAUAUAUAUUCACCAUUUAAAAAAAUUAUGUUUUGAUGCAAAAUACAUGCUGGAUAGUGAUAACUAGUGAUCUCUCUGUGGCCCAGAUGAGAAACGACAUAUUGAAGCAUUUCAAACACUUGUGAGCCUGUUCGAAGCUUUCCACAUUGACAACAUGAAGAUUCUAAAGGCUUUGAUUUAUGCCGAGGACGAUCAACUACCACUCUUUGAUGGUUCCACCAAGAAAAGGGUUCGGUUAUUGUUCUGUUCUUUCAGUCCAUUUUAUUCAGAUUAUGCUGUUAGUUAAUUCACUGGAUGAUAGAGACCAGAGAGAUUGUUGAGUAAAAACCGCAUGCGGUCUAGCUUGAAAUCUUACCACAUAGUAGUUAUGCAGAUAUCAAUCAUACUUCCUGACGAGAAUAUUUGGUAAUGAUCCUCCUAUAUGAAUAUACAAGGAUAAAACAGACUUCCCACUGUUGAUUACAGGCAAGCCUUGAUGUGUUGAGAAGGAGGAGUGUGUUGCUGCUGAUUUCGGACCUCGAAAUCUCCCACGAAGAGCUUUCAGUGCUGCAACAAAUGUACAGUGAGGCGCGGGAGCAACCAGGAAGACCAGAGAGCCAGUAUGAGGUUGUAUGGCUCCCAGUUGUGGACAGAUCAUCCCCGUGGAGUGAAACAAAGGAAAAGCUGUUUGAGGAUUUUCAAAGGAUUAUGCCAUGGUACUCUGUCUAUCACCCUUCAUUGCUAGAUGUUGCAGUCAUCAGGUACAUCAAAGAGGUGUGGCACUUCAACAAGAGGCCCUUCCUUGUGGUUUUGGAUCCACAAGGGAGAGUAGUCAACCCCAAUGCAAUCCACAUGAUGUGGAUUUGGGGAAGCCUGGCUUUCCCUUUCACCAGCUUAAAAGAGGAAGCACUCUGGAAAGAAGAAACCUGGAACAUCGAGCUAUUGGCAGAUAGCAUUGAUCCAAUGAUCUUGUCUUGGGUAUAGCUUUGCUCUCUUGCAUGCAUAAUCAAACUAAAAUGCAGUCUUUAUCUCAACAUUCUAUCGACAUCAUCUACCACUUGCAAUUUCUCAGCAGAGGGAUUCAAAUUUCCCAACUUGAAACUGAUUCAUAAACUAGACAACAACCCGACUGGUGAUCAUGAAUUUCAUACGCGCAUUGUUCAUGAAUUUUACACAACUAAUUAAUUGUUAUUGCAGAUAGAUCAAAGGAAGUACAUAUGCUUGUAUGGUGGGGAGGACAUGGAGUGGAUCCGUAAAUUCACCGUUACUGCAAAAGAUGUUGCGAGCAGGGCCGGUAUAACGUUAGAAAUGCUCUAUGUAGGGAAGAGCAACCCCAGGGAGAAAGUUAGGAAAAAUAACUCUAUUAUUACGACCGAGAAACUUAGCCAUGUAUUGCCAGACCUCACUUUGAUCUGGUUCUUUUGGGUGAGGCUGGAGAGCAUGUGGCAUUCCAAGGUGCAACACAAGAGGACUGUAG
rnacentral:lncRNA from 1 species